AACGAACGCUGGCGGCAUGCCUAACACAUGCAAGUCGAACGAGACCUUCGGGUCUAGUGGCGCACGGGUGCGUAACGCGUGGGAACCUGCCCUUAGGUUCGGAAUAACUCCCCGAAAGGGGUGCUAAUACCGGAUAAUGUCUUCGGACCAAAGAUUUAUCGCCUUUGGAUGGGCCCGCGUUGGAUUAGCUAGUUGGUAGGGUAAAAGCCUACCAAGGCGACGAUCCAUAGCUGGUCGGAGAGGAUGCUCAGCCACACUGGGACUGAGACACGGCCCAGACUCCUACGGGAGGCAGCAGUGGGGAAUAUUGGACAAUGGGCGAAAGCCUGAUCCAGCAAUGCCGCGUGAGUGAUGAAGGCCUUAGGGUUGUAAAGCUCUUUUACCCGGGAUGAUAAUGACAGUACCGGGAGAAUAAGCUCCGGCUAACUCCGUG
rnacentral:rRNA from 1 species